UCUUUCUUUCCCUUUCCACUUUUUCGCUUACACUUUCCCCCAACUCAUCAUCACUUUAAAAAUAUCUCACACCACAUAAACACUUAACCCGACCCGAUUACCCGAAUACCCGACCCGGUCCAUCCCAAUGUCAGGAACCACCACCGUUUCCUCCGGAGACCUCAACAACCUCCGUCUCCCAACCCCAACGCUCGACGCCGAAUCGCAGUCCCUGCUGCAAUCAAUCUCAGCUCAAGGCGGUUACGCCUAUGCUCGCAUGGCGGCGCUAGCUGUUUCCGGCGACAAAAGCGCGGCGGAGGCGGCGCGUGAUAUGGCUUGGGAGCAACUUCACUCUGGUCCAUGGCACUCGGUUCUCCCUGUAUGGCGCGACGCUUACUCAAUGGCUUGUCUCCACGUCGCUAAAAUCCACUUCGCCGCCGGCGAGUUUGGUGAGGCCCUUGGUGCGCUUGAUAUGGGUCUUAUCAUGGGAGGGAUGCUUCUCCGCAAGGAUCUUCACGAUUCUGUUUUAUUGGUCUCCUCUGAAGCUCGUAAGAAGACUAAGAGCCUUGAAGAAGCUUCUGGAGAUUUCAAGGGUGAGAAAUUGGUCCCGGAAGUUCCCGUCGACGUUAAUGAGGUGCUUAAGAUUCUACCUUGCAGGUCGUUAAGUUGUAGAAGAGUAGAGAAGAGGUCUGAUUUAUCUUUGGAGGGGUUCCUGCGUGAUUAUUUUCAGUCAGGUACACCAGUUGUAAUAACCAAUUGUAUGGCUCAUUGGCCAGCCAGGACCAAGUGGAACCACUUGGACUACCUCAAUACUGUUGCUGGUUACCGAACCGUUCCCGUGGAGGUGGGGAAAAACUAUUUGUGUUCUGAUUGGAAGCAAGAGCUUGUGACGUUUUCUCAGUUCCUUGAACGGAUUCGAACCAAUAAAUCUUCUUCCAUGGAACCUACUUAUCUUGCCCAGCAUUCGUUGUUUGAUCAGAUAAACGAACUGAAAGAUGAUAUAUGUAUUCCUGAUUACUGUUUUGUCGGUGGCGGGGAAAUCCAAUCUCUUAAUGCGUGGUUUGGCCCGGCUGGGACAGUUACUCCAUUACACCAUGAUCCACAUCACAAUAUACUUGCUCAGGUUGUUGGCAAGAAGUAUAUAAGGCUUUACCCAUCCUCCCUGCAAGACGAACUUUACCCUUACUCUGAGACAAUGCUCUGCAACUCUAGCCAGGUUGAUCUGGACAAUAUAGACAAGACCGAGUUCCCAAAGGCAACGGAGUUGGAGUUUAUGGAUUGUAUUCUAGAAGAAGGUGAAAUGCUGUACAUCCCUCCCAAAUGGUGGCACUAUGUCAGGUCCUUAACCAUGAGUUUCUCGGUCAGCUUCUGGUGGAGCAACGAAACAGAUUCCUCUAGCUCGUAACGAAAGGAGUUAUUUUUAAUCUCUGUUUCAGGUUCGAAGUUCACUUUGUGUCUUAUAUACAGAAUUAUAUAAGAUCUUAAGAUGGGAUUAAAGAAGAAAGUAAGUGUAGAAGAAAACAAUUGCUCCGAGCAUGAAGAUGUUUGUUUUGGUUUACGUCUAUGUUGUAAAAGACAAAUUGAGAGCUCUUGGGUACAGACAUUUUUUAGGUUUUAAAUACCUGGCGACGACCUAAUCAACGCUUUGGAGUUCGUGGAUGAAUAAUACUCAUAACUAAAAGCAAUAAUUGUAAUUUAAUUUCUUAGACACGUAACCCGCAACAACUCAGUUGUCUAAUGACCCUCAGAUGUAAAUUUAACCCCCAGCGUCACAAUUCUUUCUUUUUCCCGCCUUUGUUUUAUUAGACAAGAUUCAAUACGUCUUUGUAGUAGUAGUAGACGUAGAAAAUUAUGAGUGGAUUUUGAAAAUACAGUUAAGAACCAUAUUUCAGUCCUA